UGGGGAAUUUUGGACAAUGGGCGAAAGCCUGAUCCAGCAAUGCCGCGUGUGUGAAGAAGGCCUUCGGGUUGUAAAGCACUUUUGUCCGGAAAGAAAUCCUUGGCUCUAAUACAGUCGGGGGAUGACGGUACCGGAAGAAUAAGCACCGGCUAACUACGUGCCAGCAGCCGCGGUAAUACGUAGGGUGCAAGCGUUAAUCGGAAUUACUGGGCGUAAAGCGUGCGCAGGCGGUUUGCUAAGACCGAUGUGAAAUCCCCGGGCUCAACCUGGGAACUGCAUUGGUGACUGGCAGGCUAGAGUAUGGCAGAGGGGGGUAGAAUUCCACGUGUAGCAGUGAAAUGCGUAGAGAUGUGGAGGAAUACCGAUGGCGAAGGCAGCCCCCUGGGCCAAUACUGACGCUCAUGCACGAAAGCGUGGGGGAGCAAACAGGAUUAGAUACCCCUGGUAGUCCACGCCCUAAAACGAUGUCAACUAGUUGUUGGGGAUUCAUUUCCUUAGUAACGUAGCUAACGCGUGAAGUUGACCGCCUGGGGAGUACGGUCGCAAGAUUAAAACUCAAAUGGAAUUG
rnacentral:rRNA from 1 species